AAAAUCCGUCGACUUUA
rnacentral:tRNA from 245 species